AUGCACGCUGGCGGCGUGCCUAAUACAUGCAAGUCGAGCGAACGGACGAGAAGCUUGCUUCUCUGAUGUUAGCGGCGGACGGGUGAGUAACACGUGGAUAACCUACCUAUAAGACUGGGAUAACUUCGGGAAACCGGAGCUAAUACCGGAUAAUAUUUUGAACCGCAUGGUUCAAAAGUGAAAGACGGUCUUGCUGUCACUUAUAGAUGGAUCCGCGCUGCAUUAGCUAGUUGGUAAGGUAACGGCUUACCAAGGCAACGAUGCAUAGCCGACCUGAGAGGGUGAUCGGCCACACUGGAACUGAGACACGGUCCAGACUCCUACGGGAGGCAGCAGUAGGGAAUCUUCCGCAAUGGGCGAAAGCCUGACGGAGCAACGCCGCGUGAGUGAUGAAGGUCUUCGGAUCGUAAAACUCUGUUAUUAGGGAAGAACAUAUGUGUAAGUAACUGUGCACAUCUUGACGGUACCUAAUCAGAAAGCCACGGCUAGCUACGUG
rnacentral:rRNA from 1 species